CAAUAGCGUAUAUUAAGGUUGUUGCAGUUAAAAAGCUCGUAGUUGGAUUUCGGGGCAGCCUGGCUGGUCCGCCGCAAGGCGAGUACUGGUCAGCCGCCCUUCCUCUCGAAAGCCCCGACUGCUCUUUAUUGCAGUGGUCGGGUAGUUCGGGACGUUUACUUUGAAAAAAUUAGAGUGUUCAAGGCAGGCCUACGCCUGAAUACAUUAGCAUGGAAUAAUGGAAGAGGACCUCGGUCCUAUUUUGUUGGUUUCCAGGACCGAAGUAAUGAUUAAGAGGGACAGUUGGGGGCAUUCGUAUUUAAUUGUCAGAGGUGAAAUUCUCGGAUUUAUGAAAGACGAACAACUGCGAAAGCAUUUGCCAAGGAUGUUUUCAUUAA
rnacentral:rRNA from 1 species